UGUACACUUUGUCUCGCAAUGACGUAAUUUUUAAAUGCCUUCUGAAGAAAGUGUCGUAUGACUUGACGUCACCGUUCGAACGGGAUCAAAGAAGGAUCUCCUGGUUGAAAGGAAUAGGUGGAAUAAUAAUUAAACAGGUAUCGAAUGUGUAAUUUCAAUCGGUUCAGAUCGAACGCAAAGGAAAGUGAUCCCUGGUGGAAGAGGAAAAGAGCAAAGACACGCAGGUGCCGCGCCCUCGUUGGGUGAACUCCUUGGAGCGAGGUUCUCAGCCGAUUACUCAAGACGUUUAAAAAAAAAAAAAAAACUUAACCGACGUGGCCUCGUUCCGAGGGAAUUACGUUUUAGAACGUAAUCGCGAAGCGAGGAAGAGGUGUCUGAAGGAAUGGAUCGAGGUUGUCAGGUCGUCACACUCGCUGGCAAUGCAACAAUGACCAUUGGAAUGAACGGAGAACGAAGGAGUCAACCGGAAGUUUCUUAUAAUCCGCGGAUGCCUACCUAGGUUACGUGCGUGUCUUCGCUUUACCCAGAGAUAAUGUAUACAUGUACAACAAUUGUCGAGGUUCUAAGGUCUAGAAUCUUCGUUAGAAAUAGAAAUGAGUACAUCAGUUUCUCUUUCAGUCAGCUGGAACAUCUGGCAUUUUGGAAGGAUCGACGGAGGAUCGCGUGUGAGGUCUGGUCCAGGUUGUUCGUCUUCAAAUUCCUUGGAGCGUAAUCGUUGUCUCGGCCGCGCCCUAACGGAAGUUCUAAGCUGAAUUUGUCAUUCGAACGGACAACUCGCGUGACCAAAAAAAGACAAACGUCGUAACAGCACUUUUCCCAUUCGUGGCAAUCCUCGUGCUCGUCGCAAGAAAUUGGCGGCAUGUACCAAUCGUA